GGGCUGUAGCUCAGUUGGUAGAGCAUCUGCUUUGCAAGCAGGGGGUCAGGAGUUCGAGCCUCCUCAGCUCC
rnacentral:tRNA from 1 species